rnacentral:rRNA from 1 species
GAUGAACGCUGGCGGCGUGCUUAACACAUGCAAGUCGAACGGAAAGGCCCAAGCUUGCUUGGGUACUCGAGUGGCGAACGGGUGAGUAACACGUGGGUGAUCUGCCCUGCACUUCGGGAUAAGCCUGGGAAACUGGGUCUAAUACCGGAUAGGACGAUGGUUUGGAUGCCAUUGUGGAAAGUUUUUUCGGUGUGGGAUGAGCUCGCGGCCUAUCAGCUUGUUGGUGGGGUAAUGGCCUACCAAGGCGUCGACGGGUAGCCGGCCUGAGAGGGUGUACGGCCACAUUGGGACGGAGAUACGGCCCAGACUCCUACGGGAGGCAGCAGUGGGGAAUAUUGCACAAUGGGCGCAGGCCUGAUGCAGCGACGCCGCGUGGGGGAUGACGGCCUUCGGGUUGUAAACUCCUUUCGCUAGGGACGAAGCGUUUUUGUGACGGUACCUGGAGAAGAAGCACCGGCUAACUACGUG